rnacentral:rRNA from 1 species
GAUGAACGCUGGCGGCGUGCCUAAUACAUGCAAGUCGAGCGAACAGACGAGGAGCUUUCUCCUCUGACUUUAUCGCCGGACGGGUGAUUAACAUGUGGUUAACCUACCUCUCAGACUGGGAUAACUUCGCGAAACCGUAUCUACUACCGGAUAAUAUAUUGCACCUCAUUGUUCACUAGUUAGAUACGCUUUUUCUUUCACUAAUAGCUUAAUCCGCGCCGCAUUAGCUAGUUGGGAAGGUAACGGCUUAACAAGGCUACGAUGCGUACCCGACCUGAACGGGAGAACGCACAGCAGGGAACUGAGACACGGCAGAGACACCUACGGGAGGCAGCAGUAGGGAAUCUUCCGCAAGGGGGGAGAGCGGGACGGAGGAAAGCGGCGUGAGGGAUGAAGGUCCUAGGAUGGUAAAGCGAUGUAAGCAGUGAAGAACAAAUGUGUAAGUAACUAUGAACGUAUUGACGGUACCGAAAGAGAAAGCCACGGCUAACUACGUG